rnacentral:tRNA from 1 species
GCCCUGGUGGUGCAAUGGUUAAGCACUUGACUACUAACCAAAAAGUUGGUGGUUCGAACCCACCCAGUGGUU